UACGUAGGGUGCGAGCGUUAAUCGGAAUUACUGGGCGUAAAGCGUGCGCAGGCGGUGAUGUAAGACAGAUGUGAAAUCCCCGGGCUCGACCUGGGAACUGCAUUUGUGACUGCACGGCUGGAGUGCGGCAGAGGGGGAUGGAAUUCCGCGUGUAGCAGUGAAAUGCGUAGAUAUGCGGAGGAACACCGAUGGCGAAGGCAAUCCCCUGGGCCUGCACUGACGCUCAUGCACGAAAGCGUGGGGAGCAAACAGG
rnacentral:rRNA from 1 species